AUGGGCGCAUUCCCAAAACAAACAUCCACGUGAAUUUAGAAGGACCGGGUUCUUUAGGUUAGAACAGAUCACAUGCUAAUUCAUCUUACCAUACCUUCUCCGUCUCCACCGCGCCAAAAAAUGCCUCCGGCGACGGCGGAGGUCGUCUACCACAAAAGUCAUGUCACUGAGAUUGACUUCCUCUACAAAAUCUCGACAUGACUUUGAUUUUCAACAAUUCUCAUUCACGGCUUUAAAUCGAAGCCAGAGAACAAAGAACCAUAAGUUUCACAUCCUAAAUUAAAUAGUGAUUACGUACGAAUUCAGUCCCAAAGCUUAGGGAUAAUGCUCCUUAGAGUGUAUUCUACAAGAUGAUAACAAGAUUAGGACGAGAAAAGAGAGAGAAUCGAAUACCUCCAAAGAAGAGAUUUUCUCGGGGAAUAGUUGGAAUGAAGAAGAUGAUUACAGCGAGAUGGAUACUCUUGAAUCAGGUUCUAAUGCAUAAAGGCAUGACAUGGUAUGGCAAAGCAAAUCAAGUCAUGGUUUUGAUGAAACUUACACAUGAAACAACUUUGGCAUGUGAGAUCAAGGGAUAAGAUGGUACAAUGAAGAACCAAAGUGGAGAUUAGGAUUAGGCUCAUGGAUUAGGUGAGUUGAUUUUGAUCAACUGGUUGACCAAAAAGUCAACAUUUAUCCAAAGUUAACUGUAGGGUCAAGGUCAUAUUUCUUGUAAUUUUUUGUAUGAAUGAUGUAAUUGGUAUUUGUAUGAAUGGAAUGCACUAUUUUGAAUGGAAAUGAUUCCUUUAUUUUAA